rnacentral:rRNA from 1 species
AACGAACGCUGGCGGCAUGCCUAACACAUGCAAGUCGAACGAGACCUUCGGGUCUAUUGGCGCACGGGUGCGUAACGCGUGGGAACCUUCCCUUAUGUUCGGAAUAACUCCCCGAAAGGGGUGCUAAUACCGGAUAAUGUCUUCGGACCAAAGAUUUAUCGCCUCUGGAUGGGCCCGCGUUGGAUUAGCUAGUUGGUAGGGUAAAAGCCUACCAAGGCGACGAUCCGUAGCUUGUCUGAGAGGAUGAUCAGCAACACUGGGACUGAGACACGGCCCAGACUCCUACGGGAGGCAGCAGUGGGGAAUAUUGGACAAUGGGCGAAAGCCUGAUACAGCAAUGCCGCGUGAGUGAUGAAGGCCUUAGGGUUGUAAAGCUCUUUUACCCGGGAUGAUAAUGACAGUACCGGGAGAAUAAGCUCCGGCUAACUCCGUG